GACGAACGCUGGCGGCGUGCCUAAUACAUGCAAGUAGAACGCACAGUUUAUACCGUAGCUUGCUACACCAUAAACUGUGAGUUGCGAACGGGUGAGUAACGCGUAGGUAACCUGCCUGGUAGCGGGGGAUAACUAUUGGAAACGAUAGCUAAUACCGCAUAAUAUUGAUUAUUGCAUGAUAAUUGAUUGAAAGAUGCUAUUGCAUCACUACCAGAUGGACCUGCGUUGUAUUAGCUAGUAGGUGAGGUAACGGCUCACCUAGGCGACGAUACAUAGCCGACCUGAGAGGGUGAUCGGCCACACUGGGACUGAGACACGGCCCAGACUCCUACGGGAGGCAGCAGUAGGGAAUCUUCGGCAAUGGACGAAAGGCUGACCGAGCAACGCCGCGUGAGUGAAGAAGGUUUUCGGAUCGUAAAGCUCUGUUGUAAGAGAAGAACGGGUGUGAGAGUGGAAAGUUCACACUGUGACGGUAUCUUACCAGAAAGGGACGGCUAACUACGUG
rnacentral:rRNA from 1 species